rnacentral:lncRNA from 1 species
CCUUCCCUUCCCUUCCCUUCCCUUCCCUUCCCUUCCCUUCCCUUCCCCUCCCCUAUUAGAUGUCCCCACCAUGUAAUUCCCAUUCCUCACUUUGCUCUCACACUCAGACCUUCUCCCCUCUUCUCUUCCAGCCACCGUGCAUCUCGUGCCCUGCCAGAUGGUCUCCAAGGAAGCCGCAGUCCCUGCCCCGACCCUCUGGGUGCUGCAGGGACAGAAGGAAUAUUUCUUCGGAGAUGUUGUCACGCUGGUGUGCACCACUCCCCGCAACAUCACUGGGAGGCUGAUGUACCAAAUUUUUGGCGACGGUGGCUGGGCAAAUUCAGGAUUUAGCUCGACGAAUAACUACACGUUUGAGUUCGUCCUCUCCCGAAUGCAAAACAGGGGGCCACAUCUCUGCAGAUAUUCCAUCGGGCAAGGUCCGAAGCAGCUCACAUCCCCAACCAGUGCAGAACUGGUGAUCAAGAUUGGAGAUGCUUCGUUUCUGUGUGGAGCCAGCCCUGCUGGGAUCUCCCAGCUGGAUGCCAGAUCCCCAUACACCCUUCAGGAGGAUAAUAAGUACGAGGAACACUAAGGAGAGGAAGGUGCUGUGAGCGAUUCCACCCCCUAAAGACUGCUCCCUGCUGAAGACAUCCCAAAAGACUGGUGUGCAGCCAAACGAGUGCUCAGCUGUGGGAAAAGAAAGCAAGAAUCGGUUCCUGGGAGGACGAAAGAAGUAGAAAAGGGACAUUUCACUUGGUAAAGGGGAGGGAGGAGACACCGACGUUGUUGGGAAGGGUGAUUGUGAAAGAGAAAAUGAAGGAAGACCAGGAAUAAAAAUGGAAAUUGUGAGAAAAAAAAAAAAAAA